CAACCUUCCUUCAAGAGGUGGAUAGCCCGAAUAAAUUCGGAUUAAUACAUCGUAAAAUCACAGAGUGGCAUCACUUCAUGAUUAAAGGAUUUCGCUUGAAGAUGGGCGUGCGCCUGAUUAGGUAGUUGGUGAGGUAACGGCUCACCAAGCCGACGAUCAGUAACUGGCGUGAGAGCGCGACCAGUCACACGGGCACUGAGACACGGGCCCGACUCCUACGGGAGGCAGCAGUAAGGAAUAUUGGUCAAUGGACGCAAGUCUGAACCAGCCAUGCCGCGUGAAGGAUGAAGGCCCUCUGGGUCGUAAACUUCUUUUAUCUGGGACGAAAUCACUUUUUUCUAAGAGUGUUGACGGUACCAGAGGAAUAAGCACCGGCUAACUCCGUGCCAGCAGCCGCGGUAAUACGGAGGGUGCAAGCGUUAUCCGGAUUCACUGGGUUU
rnacentral:rRNA from 1 species